rnacentral:rRNA from 1 species
GAGUGCCUCGAGCGUUAUCCGGAAUCAUUGGGCGUAAAGGGUGCGUAGGCGGCGAUAUUAGUCUCCCGUAAAAUCUCUGGGCUCAACCCAGAGUCCGCGGGAGAAACGGUAUUGCUAGAGGAUGGUAGGGGUCUCUGGAACUCAUGGUGUAGCGGUGAAAUGCGUUGAUAUCAUGGGGAACACCAAAAGCGAAGGCAAGAGACUGGACCACUCCUGACGCUGAAGCACGAAAGCGUGGGUCGCGAAUGGGAUUAGAUACCCCAGUAGUCCACGCCCUAAACGAUGAUCACUCGAUUUGAGGAGUAUCGACCCUCCUCGAGUCCAAGCUAACGCGUUAAGUGAUCCGCCUGGGUAGUACGGCCGCAAGGUUG